rnacentral:rRNA from 1 species
GAUGAACGCUGGCGGCGUGCCUAAUACAUGCAAGUCGAGCGAACGGACGAGAAGCUUGCUUCUCUGAUGUUAGCGGCGGACGGGUGAGUAACACGAGGAUACCUACCUAUAAGACUGGGAUAACUUCGGGAAACCGGAGCUAAUACCGGAUAAUAUUUUGAACCGCAUGGUUCCAAAGUGAAAGACGGUCUUGCUGUCACUUAUAGAUGGAUCCGCGCUGCAUUAGCUAGUUGGUAAGGUAACGGCUUACCAAGGCAACGAUGCAUAGCCGACCUGAGAGGGGGAUCGGCCACACUGGAACUGAGACACGGUCCAGACUCCUACGGGAGGCAGCAGUAGGGAAUCUUCCGCAAUGGGCGAAAGCCUGACGGAGCAACGCCGCGUGAGUGAUGAAGGUCUUCGGAUCGUAAAACUCUGUUAUUAGGGAAGAACAUAUGUGUAAGUAACUGUGCACAUCUUGACGGUACCUAAUCAGAAAGCCACGGCUAACUACGUG